rnacentral:rRNA from 1 species
UACGGAGGGUGCAAACGUUGCUCGGAAUCAUUGGGCGUAAAGCGCACGUAGGCGGCGCGUUAAGUCGGGUGUGAAAGCCCUGGGCUCAACCCAGGAAGUGCAUUCGAAACUGGCGCGCUUGAAUAUGGAAGAGGGUCGCGGAAUUCCCGGUGUAGAGGUGAAAUUCGUAGAUAUCGGGAGGAACACCAAUGGCGAAGGCGGCGACCUGGGCCAAUAUUGACGCUGAGGUGCGAAAGCGUGGGGAGCAAACGGG